rnacentral:miRNA from 1 species
UUAGGUUGGUGCAAAAGUAAUUGUGGUUUUUGCCAUUCAAAGCAAAAAUGGGAAAACCACAAUUUCUUUUGCACCAACCCAAUA